GGUAGAGCAUGGUGUUUGCAACGCCAGGGUUGUGGGUUUGAUUCCCACGGGGGACCAGUAUGGAAAGAAAUGUAUGAAAUGUAUGCAUUCACUUCUCUAAGUCGCUCUGGAUAAGAGCGUCUGCUAAAAGACUAAAAUGUAAAAAUGUACAGUAUGUCCCAUGUCUUGUACAGUGUGUCCCAGGUCUUGUACAGUGUGUCCCAGGUCUUGUACUGUGUGUCCCAGGUCUUGUACAGUGUGUCCCAUGUCUUGUACUGCGUGUCCCAUGUCUUGUACUGUGUGUCCCAGGUCUUGUACUGCGUGUCCCAUGUCUUGUACAGUGUGUCCCCGGUCUUGUACAGUGUGUCCCAUGUCUUGUACUGUGUGUCCCAUGUCUUCUACUGUGUGUCCCCGGUCUUGUACAGUGUGUCCCCGGUCUUGUACAGUGUGUCCCAGGUAUUGCACAGUGUGUCCCCGGUCUUGUACAGUGUGUCCCAUGUCUUGUACAGCGUGUCCCAUGUCUUGUACAGCGUGUCCCAUGUCUUGUACUGCGUGUCCCAUGUCUUGUUCUGUGUGUCCCAUGUCUUGUACAGUGUGUCCCAUGUCUUGUACUGCGUGUCCCAUGUCUUGUUCUGUGUGUCCCAUGUCUUGUACUGUGUGUCCCAUGUCUUGUUCUGUGUGUCCCAGGUCUUGUACUGUGUGUCCCAGGUCUUGUACUGCGUGUCCCAGG
rnacentral:lncRNA from 1 species